UAUGUUAUCACGUGAUGCUUGGUUCGC
rnacentral:sRNA from 1 species